rnacentral:siRNA from 1 species
UAUAUUUAAUAAGCGUAUCGUGA